rnacentral:rRNA from 1 species
AACGUAGGUGACAAGCGUUAUCCGGAUUUACUGGGCGUAAAGCGCGUUCAGGCGGUUUGGCAAGUCGGGCAUGAAAUCUCCUGGCUCAACCAGGAGAGGCUGUCCGAUACUUCCAGACUUGAGGGCAGUAGAGGGUGGUGGAAUUCCGGGUGUAGUGGUGAAAUGCGUAGAGAUGUGGAGGAACACCGAUGGCGAAGGCAGCCCCCUGGGCUAACACUGACGCUCAUGCACGAAAGCGUGGGGAGCAAACAGG